CGUUCCCACUGUGGCAAUUGGCAAAUUUGCUUUAUCCAGACGGUUUGCUUCAUCCAGACAGUUUCAACUAUCUAAGAAGAGCAGUCUCUAAGCGCACAACCUCCGUAGCGGUUUCAGCUAAUUCCUGGGGGGACUUGUUUGUUUCGUUCGCCUUCAGCCAAAGCUUACGGCCCGCGGAAAUGAUUUCCGCUUCGCGUUGCGCCCCCGGUGCCGCGUCUGCCGCAGGAAGAUCCUCCGGCGGACGAUUUAGAUCGAUUGGAAGUAGUCGAUUGAAAGAUCCCCCGCUCUCACUCGAAGAACGCCCAAUACUUGGAUAUUCUCCAUUGUCCCCUUCUCUCUCACUUUGUCAUCAGGAAUCGAUUGAGCCUGCAACAUCUCGUCCGCUCUCACUCGAACGAGCUCCAACGAGUUUGGUCACUCCCCCUUCUCUCUCACUCUAUCUGUCAUCAAGAAUCGAUUGAUAAAGAGAGAGCCUGAAGAGUUUGGGAAUUUGAUUCAGGGGACGUCGUUGGACUGCUAGCAUUUGGUUAAACAUGGUAAAGGAGGAUACUUCACACGUGUGGAUGAAGACAUUUGAUCAAAAAUUACACGCCAAUUUUUUUUUUCUUUAGGGAUUGAGUUUCAUGUAUUCAAGAACCUUGAAUUUGUAGCAAACACAUGGAUGUUAAAGAACCUUGAGAUAUAAUUGAUUUUUUUUAUUAUAUAAUCUUUUAAUGGAAUUUUAAAUUUAAGUUCCAUCUUA